UGAGAUAUGUAGUAUUAAAAGAAGGGAAAGUGAUUCUGGAUUUGUGGAGAAAACACUGACCUUCCUGACCCUCCAUAGCUGCAAACAGGGGAAGAGUUGGUACCAGCUGAGUUGUAACAGCAAUGCUAAGUGAAGUGAUGCAGAAUUCCAGCAGAGGGCAGAAGAGAGCUUCUUUAGCGUUUUAUGGAAUCCACCCAGACAAAAAGAUCUGGCAUUUCAUCUGACCCUCAGUCUCUCCUUUGAGGAAAGAGUGCAGUCAGUUCCAGAAGAUGCUGAGUCUUCUAUUGCUUCUAGUACCUAGUUCUGGGCUUGGGGCUCUCAUCUCUCAGCAGCCAAGGAGAGCUAUCUGGAAGAAAGGGUCUUCUGCACUAAUCCUCUGUUAUCAAAUUGAUAGCCAAUUAACCUUCAUGUACUGGUAUCGUCAGCUUCCGCAACAGAGCUUGGUACUGAUGGCUGCUGCGAAUAUGGGCACCCCAGGCAACUAUGAGAAGGGUUUUGAUGAGGCCAAGUUCCCCAUUAGACGUCCAGAUACAAAAUUCUCUACUCUGAAAGUAAUUGAUUUGGAUCCCAAAGACAGUGGCAUUUAUUUCUGUAGCGCCAGUGACACAGAAUGUGACUUGAAUCAGAGACUAGAACAAGAACCGUUGCUCUUUCUCUUCCCACAGGUGGCCUAUCUGGGGGCCCUGAAGAAGGCAGCAAACUGCAGUUUUGGCUGA